AUGGAGAGUUUAGGUAAAGACCAUGCUUACUCGGACCCUUCCCUGCCACCCUCUGCACCUCGUGAGGAAUACGCUGUGCCAGAUGUCAUCAUCACACGCCGCUUGAGAGACCGGGAGUUGCUCCGGAAAAGAAAAGCAGAAGCCCAGGAGAAAGACUCAAUUCAGGAGCAGGAGAAGAGCAAACGGCAAAAGAGAGGCAGAGGAGCAGGGAGAGGACGAGGCCGCCAGCCGGUUACGGAGCCCAGUCCGGAGCCCAAUCCAGAGCCAGACCCUCAGCCCGAAGUGCUGGAGGAAACUGAGCACCCACUGACUGAGCCGGCAGCGCCCACGCCAGCGUGUCAAGCCCCGUCGCCCCCACUCACAACUCAGGAGCUCUUUGGUGGGACCCUGCAGGGAGCUGUGGAAAGGGAGUUGGCGGACGGGAGCCAGUAUCCAGAGGGUGAAGAGGCAGUCCUGAAACCAGCUGAAGCAGAAAUUCCGGAGGCUUUGAAUAUUCCUCUGGAAAAUGACCACCAGGAUAAUGAAUACUACACACCAGUUCUAUUUUAAUUUUUUGUUUUGUCUUCUGUCUGAUAAACUCAAGCAUUGUAGAGUGAUUUAGAUCAGCUGUUUCCAUGUGAGUAAUAAAACUCAGCUCUCCUGGCA
rnacentral:lncRNA from 1 species